rnacentral:rRNA from 1 species
UCUGGUGUCAGCCGCCGCGGUAAUACCAGCUCUCCGAGUGGUAGGGAUGAUUAUUGGGCUUAAAGCGUCCGUAGCCGGCUUAGCAAGUCUCCUGUUAAAUUCAGCGACCUAAUCGUUGAGCCGCGGGAGAUACUACUAGGCUAGGGGACGAGAGAGGCCGACGGUAUUUUCGGGGUAGGGGUGAAAUCCUAUAAUCCCGGGAAGACCACCAGUGGCGAAGGCUGUCGGCUAGAACGCGCCCGACGGUGAGGGAUGAAAGCUGGGGGAGCGAACCGGAUUAGAUACCCGGGUAGUCCCAGCUGUAAACGAUGCAGGCUAGGUGUUUGGGCGGCCACGGGCCGCUCUAGUGCCGCAGGGAAGCUGUUAA